CGCGUAGGCGGUCUGGUAAGCGUGUGGUGAAAGCCCGGGGCUCAACCCCGGGUCUGCCGUGCGAACUGCUGGACUUGAGCACUGUAGAGGCAGGUGGAAUUCCGAGUGUAGCGGUGGAAUGCGUAGAGAUUCGGAGGAACACCGGUGGCGAAGGCGGCCUGCUGGGCAGUGUCUGACGCUGAGGCGCGACAGCGUGGGGAGCAAACA
rnacentral:rRNA from 1 species